UAUUUUUUAACACUGAAAUGCGCUUCUUUUCUCCAGUAGUGAACUAGAUUGUUUAUUCCACGAAUCAUCAUGAAGUUGGCCCUUUUUCUCGUUGUCGCCCUGCCCUUGGUCAUGUCAGCACCACAGAAAAAGGCUAUCAAUCCAUUUGUGAAACAGUCUCUUGAACAUUUUCCACGCAGAUGAGCUAAAAAGACUAGUUACAGAUUUAGUUGCUGAUCUAGGUUCUGACAAUAGGGAGGGAGAAUGUGAAAAAGAGUGUAACAACCUCGUAGACACUCAGUUUUCGGGCACCAUCAACGUCCUUUCUCACCAAGUUUGCCCUCUCAGUUGUCAUUCGUUGCAGGAAUUGGUCCACUUCUUCCAUAUUUCUGCUCCCACGACUACUGCUAGUGCGUAAAACGAACAUUAUGAAUAUAUCUCCUCCAUGUUAUUAAGCGGAUGAGAUAAACUGUUCGUUUAUGUAAUUUUGGUUGCACAAUAUCAAAUAAACUAAACGAAACGAU